rnacentral:rRNA from 1 species
GUACACUCCUACGGGAGGCAGCAGUGGGGAAUAUUGCACAAUGGGCGCAAGCCUGAUGCAGCGACGCCGCGUGGGGGGUGAAGGCCUUCGGGUUGUAAACUCCUUUCGCUAGGGACGAAGCUUUUUUGUGACGGUACCUAGAUAAGAAGCACCGGCUAACUACGUGCCAGCAGCCGCGGUAAUACGUAGGGUGCGAGCGUUGUCCGGAAUUACUGGGCGUAAAGGGCUCGUAGGUGGUUUGUCGCGUCGUCUGUGAAAUUCUGGGGCUUAACUCCGGGCGUGCAGGCGAUACGGGCAUAACUUGAGUGCUGUAGGGGUAACUGGAAUUCCUGGUGUAGCGGUGAAAUGCGCAGAUAUCAGGAGGAACACCGAUGGCGAAGGCAGGUUACUGGGCAGUUACUGACGCUGAGGAGCGAAAGCAUGGGUAGCGAACAGGAUUAGAUACCCUUGUAGUCCCA